GAGACACACAGAGGCAGAGACACAGGCAGAGGGAGAAGCAGGCUCCCUGCAGGGAGCCUGACGUGGGCUUCGAUCCCAGGACCCCGGGAUCACACCCUGAGCCGAGGGCAGACCUCAGCCCCUGAGCCUCCCUGGGGGCCCCGACUCUGCCCUCUUUAAACAGUAAUUCCCCUUUCCACCUGCAGCCCCCGGUAGCUUCCAUUAUGCUUCCUGCCUGUGGGUUUCCCUAACCUGGACACUGCAUGGAUAUGAAUACGUACACAAGCUGGGUGGGGAGACAGAGGAGAGAGACACGCAGACUCCCCACUCAGGGCAGGGCCCGACGUGGGGCUUGAUCCCAUGACCCACGGAUCAUGACCUGAGCCCAAAUCAGGUGUUAGAUGUUGAAGAGACCAAGUCACCCGGUGUCACUGGACGUGGAAAACAUGGAAAAUGCAUCCUCCCACGUCUGGCUGCUUCUGCUGAGCAUCAUGUUCCCGAGGCUCGCCCACGUCGUGGCCUGUAGCCCCAUUCCCUUCAUGCCUGACUCCCAUUCUGUGGCACGGACACACCCCAUUUUUUUGUUGGUCUAGUCCUCUGUCAGCAGGCCCUUGAGUUGUGUCCACUGUUUGGCUCCUGCGGCUAAUGUGCUGUGGGGAGCACAAGGAUCUGCUCGAGGUCCCAUUUUUUUUUAAGAUUUUAUUUAUUUAUUCAUGAGAGACACACACAGAGAGAGGCAGAGACACAGGCAGAGGGAGAAGCAGGCUCCAUGCAGGGAGCCCGAUGUGGGACUCGAUCCCGGGACUCCAGGAUCACGCCUCAAGUCAAAAGGCAGACGCUCAACUGCUGAGCCACCCAGGGAUCCCCUUGAGGUCCAUUUUUAAAUCUUAUGGGUGUAUCUUAAGUUGCUGGGUCACGUAGUAAAACUGUGUUUAAGUUUUUCAGGAGCUGCCAGGCUGGUUUCCACAGUGGCUGCUCCAUUGAAUGUUCUCACCGGCGAUGCACAGGAGACAUAUCUAGAAACAUGCUGCUACAGCUGAUGCCAGAGAGAGAGAGAGAGCACAAGUAGAGGGAUCAGCAGAGGGAGAGGGAGAAGCAGACGCCC